GUAAACACUUAGAGAAUAAAAGUAAAUAAAUAAAGACACGGGAGAUGUGAUCAGUUACAGAAUGAUCGCCCAAAUCUUGGCAACUUCUGAUAAACUAUAAGAAAAAGUAAAAAACAUUACAAGGACAAUUACUAAUAUUCUCCCAAACGUCACAAAGCUGUCAGAACACAAACUCCUAGGAUUCCCAUUCCCAAAUAUGAUCCUAAUAUUUUUUUCUUUCAGCGCAUGCGCUAUUAUUCGCCCGCUACUUACGAACUUAAAAAGAGAAGAAUCUGUCCUUUCUCACAAAAGUUUCAAGUUGUCUUUCGAAUCAAAAGAUGAAAUUGGUUAAGAUCUUUAAAAAGUUUGCUUGUUGAAAAGGAAUUGGUUUCAUUGUAAAAGUUUGGCAUUUCCCAUCCUUCGUCAUCUUCAUCUUCGAAAUAAUGAGCAUAUGUACUGUGAUGAGAAGGUGCAAUGCUCUCAGCAUAAGGAGCGGGUGCACCAUAAAAGAAGUUAGUCUGUGAGCCCGUGAGGUCCAUAUGAGGCUCUGGCAUCUUUUGCAUUUUCUUCUUACGAGUAGAUCUAAAGAACAAAAAAAUAAAUUUUAUUAAUUUUUUGAAGAGAAAGGUAUUAAAAACAAACUAAGAAAUAAUCAUCCGGGCUUAAAAUCAAUGGUGGUCAGUUGGUCCAAGGCUACCCAAAUUCGACUCGAAACCCUUUGAAAUAAUUAUUAGUGGUUCAACAAUCAAUGUUAAGGGUAACAUUCUUGUUCACUGGUGGCUGCAACUUCAGGCGUUGUUUUUCCAGGAACACAUUGUUGGCAGGAUGGCAUACCUCUAGACCUGAAAUAGCCUCUCUGGCAGGGAACACAUUCCCCAUUCUCAUCUAACUCAUAUCCUGACAGGCAUUCCUCUGCAGAUUUAGAUACUGCUUGGUUACGGCGCGUUGUAAGGCCAGCACCACAAGGUAUACAGUUGAAUGUUCCUUCUGCAGGUUGAUAGAAUCCAUAACCACAAGGCAAACAGGCUCCAACUUGUUCAUCAUAGUAAUUUCCAGCAGAACAAUGUGCUAGAAAAGAUAUAUUCAGAGAUUUAAAGAUUUUUUAUAGUUGAGAGUAUUUUGUUUUAUGUUUUAAUUCAAGCAAACCAUAUUUUGUAAAGAGAAUAAUGUAGCUACAUAAAAUAGUUAUCUUUUCAU